ensembl:lncRNA
GGAGAAUGAGGGAGUGGAUGGGUGAAGAGGGGUAGGAGGUAUGGAGAAUGAGGGAGUAUAGGGGUGAAGAGGGUUAAGAGGUAUGGAGAAUGAGGGAGUGGAGGGGUGAAGAGGGGUAGGAGGUAUGGAGAAUGAGGGAGUGGAGGGAGGAAGAGGGGUAAGAGGUAUGGAGAAUGAGGGAGUGGAGGGGUGAAGAGGGGUAAGAGGUAUGGAGAAUGAGGGAGUAUAGGGGUGAAGAGGGGUAAGAGGUAUGGAGAAUGAGGGAGUGUAGGGGUGAAGAGGGGUAAGCGGUAUGGAGAAUGAGGGAGUAUAGGGGUGAAGAGGGGUAAGCGGUAUGGAGAAUGAGGGAGUGGAGGGGUGAAGAGGGGUAAGAGGUAUGGAGAAUGAGGGAGUGGAGGGGUGAAGAGGGGUAAGAGGUAUGGAGAAUGAGGGAGUGGAGGGGUGAGGAUGGAGAAUGAGGGAGUAUAGGGGUGAAGAGGGGUAAUAGGUAUGGAGAAUGAGGGAGUAUAGGGGAGAAGAGGGGUAAUAGG